UACGGAGGGUGCAAGCGUUAUCCGGAUUCACUGGGGUUAAAGGGUGCGUAGGUGGGCUAGUAAGUCCGUGGUGAAAUCUCCAAGCUUAACUUGGAAACUGCCGUGGAUACUAUUAGUCUUGAAUAUUGUGGAGGUAAGCGGAAUAUGUCAUGUAGCGGUGAAAUGCUUAGAUAUGACAUAGAACACCGAUAGCGAAGGCAGCUUGCUGCACAAUCAUUGACACUGAGGCACGAAAGCGUGGGGAUCAAACAGG
rnacentral:rRNA from 1 species